rnacentral:lncRNA from 1 species
CAAUUUUGAUUUCUCUUGUGGUGCAAGUUAUCACCUCUGAUUUAAAAUGUCUAAUAAUCAAGUUAGUGUUGAAGCUUUACAGCAGCAAUUAAAUUUGCUAAAUCAACAAGUUACUGUUUUAACACAGUCAAUAUUACGAUUAACUAAUCAAGAAACAGAAGUUUCCAGUGAGCCAUUUAUGCUGUCCGAGGAACCAACACAUUUCCAGAGACCAGUUCAGGCCUCCACCCCAUCUAUUGCUGCCCAUUCUGAAAAUCCUUCUAUCAUCGUCAUAGUUACCAAUAUGACACCUCACAUAUUUAUCUAUUAUAUACUGGAAAAUAUGACAUCUACA